GAUGAACGCUGGCGGUAUGCUUAACACAUGCAAGUCGAACGGUGUUUUCGGACACAGUGGCGGACGGGUGAGUAACGCGUGAGAAUCUGGUCUUGGGUUCGGGACAACCACUGGAAACGGUGGCUAAUACCGGAUAUGCCGAACGGUAAAAGAUUAAUUGCCUGAGAGUGAGCUCGCGUCUGAUUAGCUAGUUGGUGGGGUAAGAGCCUACCAAGGCGACGAUCAGUAGCUGGUCUGAGAGGACGAUCAGCCACACUGGGACUGAGACACGGCCCAG
rnacentral:rRNA from 1 species